rnacentral:rRNA from 1 species
GGGCACUCUAGCGAGACUGCCGGUAAUAAACCGGAGGAAGGUGGGGAUGACGUCAAAUCAUCAUGCCCCUUAUGACCUGGGCUACACACGUGCUACAAUGGCUGGUACAACGAGUCGCAAGCCGGUGACGGCAAGCUAAUCUCUUAAAGCCAGUCUCAGUUCGGAUUGUAGGCUGCAACUCGCCUACAUGAAGUCGGAAUCGCUAGUAAUCGCGGAUCAGCACGCCGCGGUGAAUACGUUCCCGGGCCUUGUACACACCGCCCGUCACACCACGAGAGUUUGUAACACCCGAAGUCGGUGAGGUAACCUUUUGGAGCCAGCCGCCUAAGGUGGGAUAGAUGAUUGGGGUG